AUCCAACUGACGAGUCCUAAAUGAGACGAAACACACGUUCUACAU
rnacentral:hammerhead_ribozyme from 1 species